rnacentral:ncRNA from 2 species
ACUAUCUUGUCGGGGUGCCUUGUUUUGAGGCUGAGAUAAAACCCGCUGAACCUGAUCCAGCUAGUACUGGCGUAGGAAUCGAGAUGUAUAAUUAU